AGAACGCGUGCGGCCGUCGAGCACAUGGGCCCGCGGACCGGGGCGGGCGGGCGGCGGGCAGAGUGCUGCGGCGAGGAGCUGCGGGCCGUGGUGCGCCGACCCGCGAGCCCCGAGAGUGUGUCUCGGCGCAGAGAGGAUGUCGGCGGCCCCGGCGACCUGCGAGACGGGCCGGAUCCACCCUCCG
rnacentral:sRNA from 1 species